CGUGUAGGCGGAUGCGUAAGCCGGGGGUGAAAUGCCAAGGCUCAACCUUUGGACGUGCUCCCGGAACUGCGUAUCUAGAGAAAGUCAGGGGCAGGUGGAAUUCCAGGUGUAGAGGUGAAAUUCGUAGAGAUCUGGAGGAACACCGGCGGCGAAGGCGGCCUGCUGGGACUUUUCUGACGCUGAGGCGCGAAAGCGUGGGGAGCAAACAGGAUUAGAUACCCUGGUAGUCCACGCUGUAAACGAUGAACACUCGAUGUGCGAGGUAUACGACCCCUCGCGUGUCACAGCUAACGCAUUAAGUGUUCCGCCUGGGGACUACGGUCGCAAGACUAAA
rnacentral:rRNA from 1 species